GUCCACGCCCUAAACGAUGUCAACUAGUUGUCGGGAGGGAGACCUCUUUGGUAACGCAGCUAACGCGCGAAGUUGACCGCCUGGGGAGUACGGUCGCAAGAUUAAAACUCAAAGGAAUUGACGGGGACCCGCACAAGCGGUGGAUGAUGUGGAUUAAUUCGAUGCAACGCGAAAACCUUAACCUACCCUUGACAUGCCUGGAAACUUGGUAGAGAUACCUUGGUGCCCGAAAGGGAGCCAGGACACAGGUGCUGCAUGGCUGUCGU
rnacentral:rRNA from 1 species